rnacentral:rRNA from 1 species
CCAAGAUUGAAAGCUGGCGUCUUCGGCGUCCGCAUUGUAAUCUCAAGAAGUGUUUUCCGCUUCGGACCAUGCCUAAGUCCCUUGGAAAAGGGCAUCAUAGAGGGUGAUAAUCCCGUACAUGGCAUGGAGCGCCCGAAGCUUUGUGAUACGCUUUCUAAGAGUCGAGUUGUUUGGGAAUGCAGCUCAAAAUGGGUGGUAAAUGCCAUCUAAGGCUAAAUAUUGGGGAGAGACCGAUAGCGAACAAGUACAGUGAUGGAAAGAUGAAAAGAACUUUGAAAAGAGAGUUAAACAGUACGUGAAAUUGCCAAAAGGGAAGGGUAGGAGGUCAGAGAUGCGGCCUGGGAUUCAGCCUUGCUUUUGCUUGGUGUUUUUCCCAGAUUGCAGGCCAACGUCGGUUUUGGGCACUGGAGAAGGGUAGGAGGAACGUGGCACCUCUCGGGGUGUGUUAUAGCCUCCUACUGGAUACAGCGACCGAGACCGAGGACAGCAGCGUACUCGCAAGAGCGGGCCUUCGGGCACCUUUACGCUUAGGGCGUUGGCAUAAUGGCCCUCUACCACCCGUCUUGA